UAACACGUGAGUAACCUGCCCUUAACUCUGGGAUAAGCCUGGGAAACUGGGUCUAAUACUGGAUAUUGACUUUUCCUCGCAUGGGGUUUGGUUGAAAGCUUUAGUGGUUUUGGAUGGACUCGCGGCCUAUCAGCUUGUUGGUGAGGUAAUGGCUCACCAAGGCGACGACGGGUAGCCGGCCUGAGAGGGUGACCGGCCACACUGGGACUGAGACACGGCCCAGACUCCUACGGGAGGCAGCAGUGGGGAAUAUUGCACAAUGGGCGAAAGCCUGAUGCAGCGACGCCGCGUGAGGGAUGACGGCCUUCGGGUUGUAAACCUCUUUCAGUAGGGAACAAGGCCACACGUUGUGUGGUUGAGGGUACUUGCAGAAGAAGCACCGGCUAACUACGUGCCAGCAGCCGCGGUAAUACGUAGGGUGCAAGCGUUAUCCGGAAUUAUUGGCGUAAAGAGCUCGUAGGCGGUUUGUCGCGUCUGCCGUGAAAGUCCGGGGCUCAACCCCGGAUCUGCGGUGGGUACGGGCAGACUAGAGUGAUGUAGGGGAGACUGGAAUUCCUGGUGUAGCGGUGAAAUGCGCAGAUAUCAGGAGGAACACCGAUGGCGAAGGCAGGUCUCUGGGCAUUAACUGACGCUGAGGAGCGAAAGCAUGGGGAGCGAACAGGAUUAGAUACCCUGGUAGUCCAUGCCGUAAACGUUGGGCACUAGGUGUGGGGACAUUCCACGUUUUCCGCGCCGUAGCUAACGCAUUAAGUGCCCCGCCUGGGGAGUACGGCCGCAAGGCUAAAACUCAAAGGAAUUGACGGGGGCCCGCACAAGCGGCGGAGCAUGCGGAUUAAUUCGAUGCAACGCGAAGAACCUUACCAAGGCUUGACAUAAACUGGAAACGCUUGGAAACAAGUGCCCCGCUUGCGGUCGGUUUACAGGUGGUGCAUGGUUGUCGUCAGCUCGUGUCGUGAGAUGUUGGGUUAAGUCCCGCAACGAGCGCAACCCUCGUUCUAUGUUGCCAGCACGUAAUGGUGGGGACUCAUAGGAGACUGCCGGGGUCAACUCGGAGGAAGGUGAGGACGACGUCAAAUCAUCAUGCCCCUUAUGUCUUGGGCUUCACGCAUGCUACAAUGGCCGGUACAAUGGGUUGCGAUACUGUGAGGUGGAGCUAAUCCCAAAAAGCCGGUCUCAGUUCGGAUUGGGGUCUGCAACUCGACCCCAUGAAGUCGGAGUCGCUAGUAAUCGCAGAUCAGCAACGCUGCGGUGAAUACGUUCCCGGGCCUUGUACACACCGCCCGUCAAGUCACGAAAGUUGGUAACACCCGAAGCCGGUGGCCUAACCCCCUUGUGGGAGGAGCUGUCGA
rnacentral:rRNA from 1 species